rnacentral:tRNA from 2 species
GGAUGGGUGGCCGAGCGGUUUAAGGCACCGGUCUUGAAAACCGGCGUGCCCGCAAGGGUACCGUGGGUUCGAAUCCCACCCCAUCCGCCA